rnacentral:rRNA from 1 species
CGUAACAAGGUUUCCGUAGGUGAACCUGCGGAAGGAUCAUUACCUAGAGUUUGUGGACUUCGGUCUGCUACCUCUUACCCAUGUCUUUUGAGUACCUUCGUUUCCUCGGCGGGUCCGCCCGCCGGUUGGACAACAUUCAAACCCUUUGCAGUUGCAAUCAGCGUCUGAAAAAACUUAAUAGUUACAACUUUCAACAACGGAUCUCUUGGUUCUGGCAUCGAUGAAGAACGCAGCGAAAUGCGAUAAGUAGUGUGAAUUGCAGAAUUCAGUGAAUCAUCGAAUCUUUGAACGCACAUUGCGCCCCUUGGUAUUCCAUGGGGCAUGCCUGUUCGAGCGUCAUUUGUACCUUCAAGCUCUGCUUGGUGUUGGGUGUUUUGUCUCGCCUCCGCGCGCAGACUCGCCUUAAAACAAUUGGCAGCCGGCGUAUUGAUUUCGGAGCGCAGUACAUCUCGCGCUUUGCACUCAUAACGACGACGUCCAAAAGUACAUUUUUACACUCUUGACCUCGGAUCAGGUAGGGAUACCCGCUGAACUUAAGCAUAUCA